CCAGCUUCUCCAGGACGGGCUUCAGGACCCCCGUCGCCACACUCACGAGAGCCGCCUCCAUGGGUUGCAGGACGUGCUAGCUCGGUUAAUUUUACGUGGGCAGGGCGUAGAUCUGAUAAUUAGAAACAGUAAUAUUUCAACGAUUAAUAAUCCGAGUGAACCUAAUUAAAUUCAUCAAACAAGAACUACACAGACGCGGUAUCGCCAUGCUAGACAAGAGCAGAAAGAAGCACAGCACGGGAGGUGGAUGGGGUCAUAGUUACCGGGAUCUGUACGUCGAUCGAUCAGACUCCGGCGACGCGUCAGGCAGGUGCAGCAGCGAGGCUUGUGCAGUGGCGGAAAAGCAUGGAGCAAGGAGAGGAUCGAAAUAUCUGUGUUGUGUGGGUUUAUUAGCCAGCAAAACGCGU
rnacentral:lncRNA from 1 species